AUUGAACGCUGGCGGCAUGCCUUACACAUGCAAGUCGAACGGUAACAGGUCUUCGGAUGCUGACGAGUGGCGAACGGGUGAGUAAUACAUCGGAACGUGCCCGAUCGUGGGGGAUAACGCAGCGAAAGCUGUGCUAAUACCGCAUACGAUCUACGGAUGAAAGCGGGGGAUCGCAAGACCUCGCGCGGACGGAGCGGCCGAUGGCAGAUUAGGUAGUUGGUGGGAUAAAAGCUUACCAAGCCGACGAUCUGUAGCUGGUCUGAGAGGACGACCAGCCACACUGGGACUGAGACACGGCCCAGACUCCUACGGGAGGCAGCAGUGGGGAAUUUUGGACAAUGGGCGCAAGCCUGAUCCAGCCAUGCCGCGUGCAGGAUGAAGGCCUUCGGGUUGUAAACUGCUUUUGUACGGAACGAAAAAGCUCUCUCUAAUACAGGGGGUGAAUGACGGUACCGUAAGAAUAAGCACCGGCUAACCACGUG
rnacentral:rRNA from 1 species